GUAGGUGGCAAGCGUUGUCCGGAAUUAUUGGGCGUAAAGCGCGCGCAGGGCGGUCCUUUAAGUCUGAUGUGAACGCCCACGGCUCAACCGUGGAGGGUCAUUGGAAACUGGGGGACUUGAGUACAGAAGAGGAAAGCGGAAUUCCAAGUGUAGUGGUGAAAUGCGUAGAGAUUUGGAGGAACACCAGUGGCGAAGGCGGCUUUCUGGUCUGUAACUGACGCUGAGGCGCGAAAGCGUGGGGAGCAAACAGGAUUAGAUACCCUGGUAGUCCACGCCGUAAACGAUGAGUGCUAAGUGUUAGGGGGUUUCCGCCCCUUAGUGCUGCAGCUAACGCAUUAAGCACUCCGCCUGGGGAGUACGGCCGCAAGGCUG
rnacentral:rRNA from 1 species